AUUGAACGCUGGCGGCAUGCUUUACACAUGCAAGUCGAACGGCAGCGCGGGGGCAACCCUGGCGGCGAGUGGCGAACGGGUGAGUAAUGCAUCGGAACGUAUCCUGUAAUGGGGGAUAACGUAGCGAAAGUUACGCUAAUACCGCAUACGCUCGAGAGAGGAAAGUGGGGGAUCGCAAGACCUCACGUUAUAGGAGCGGCCGAUGUCCGAUUAGCUAGUUGGUGGGGUAAAGGCCUACCAAGGCGACGAUCGGUAGCUGGUCUGAGAGGAUGAUCAGCCACACUGGGACUGAGACACGGCCCAGACUCCUACGGGAGGCAGCAGUGGGGAAUUUUGGACAAUGGGCGAAAGCCUGAUCCAGCCAUGCCGCGUGGAGGACGAAGG
rnacentral:rRNA from 1 species